GCCUUGUUGGUGUAAUGGGUAGCACGAGGCUCUAAAGUGAGGGAAAUGGAUCCGCGAUUCUUGAGAACUUUAGCACAGCCGAGACCGUGGUUCAACCCCAAGGCAGGGCC